rnacentral:rRNA from 1 species
UACGUAGGGUCCGAGCGUUGUCCGGAAUUAUUGGGCGUAAAGAGCUCGUAGGCGGUUUGUCGCGUCUGCCGUGAAAGUCCGGGGCUCAACUCCGGAUCUGCGGUGGGUACGGGCAGACUAGAGUGAUGUAGGGGAGACUGGAAUUCCUGGUGUAGCGGUGAAAUGCGCAGAUAUCAGGAGGAACACCAAUGGCGAAGGCAGCUCGCUGGGACGGUACUGACGCUGAGGCGCGAAAGCGUGGGGAGCAAACAGG